rnacentral:rRNA from 1 species
UACGUAGGGUGCGAGCGUUGUCCGGAAUUAUUGGGCGUAAAGAGCUCGUAGGCGGUUUGUCGCGUCUAUCGUGAAAACUGGAGGCUUAACUUUCAGCGUGCGGUGGAUACGGGCAGACUUGAGUUCGGUAGGGGAGACUGGAAUUCCUGGUGUAGCGGUGAAAUGCGCAGAUAUCAGGAGGAACACCGGUGGCGAAGGCGGGUCUCUGGGCCGAUACUGACGCUGAGGAGCGAAGGCGUGGGGAGCGAACAGG